AAUGCACCAAUUUGUAAGUCGCUCUGGACAAGAGCGUCUGCUAAAUGACGUAAA
rfam:Salmo salar isolate Sally breed double haploid chromosome ssa02, whole genome shotgun sequence.